rnacentral:tRNA from 1 species
GGGGUUGUGGCUCAAGGUAGAGCACUUGCCUUACUUGUAUGAGGCACUGAGUUCGAUUCUCAGCACCA